UCCUUUCUCUCUCUUUUCUCUCUCCUCUCUCUACCUUCUCUCUCUAUAUUUUCUCUCUCUAAAUUCUCUCGCUAGACUUUUCUCUCUCUUUACGGAUUUUGUCUCUCUAGGAUCUUUUCUUCCUCUCUGAUUGCAUCAUGAACCCUAGGAUAAACUUGAAGAUGAAAAUAAGAUGAUUUGAGAUUGCUCCGAAAUUCGUGCGGUAGAUCUAAUCCCAGCUGAUCCUAUUCGAAAUUGUAACACUUGAUUCAUUUUAAGUCAUCCUGAUAGGACCUCUGAUAGUCUCGACCAUGAUUGCCUCAUCCGAAGGAUACGAAGAUUUCUCUCUCCACUUUCUCUCUC
rnacentral:lncRNA from 1 species